rnacentral:tRNA from 1 species
GCCUCCGUAGCUCAGGGGAUAGAGCGCCGGUUUCCGGUACCGAAGGUCGGGGGUUCGAAUCCCUCCGGGGGCACCG